UCUUGGAAUUGACCCGUUACUUUACUUUUCCCUCUUCCCUAUCUCACCCUUUAAAAUGGAGCAUUCUACAUUAUUCCUUUAUCAUUUCCUUUCUCUUCUUUCCUUUCAAUCAACAAAAUACACAGAUCCACUCUUAGAUUCAACGGGCUGUGGAUUUCUCUCUUCGAUUAACCUGCUCAUGAUUAUGCUCGAGUUUUUUGUUCAGAUCUUUAUAGAUUCAUCGGCUUUGGGAAAAUAAAUAUUUUGCCAUGUCAGCGGAGAGGUUCACGAGAUGCACUUGCGUCAAGUUGAGAUCAAUGAUCAUUAGGGAAAAAAAAUUAACGCUACACAUUUCAAUGGUUAUAUUGAGUUGUAGAAAAACUAUUUACAACAAAACAAGAUCUGUUAUAUCAUAAACGGACGCAUCAAUAGUGCUAAUCCUAAUUUUCAAUCAGUGCACAAGGAGCUUGAGAUUAGAUUUAAGAAAAAUACGUUAGUUGAAGAAAGCAAUAGUCACUUUUCGACCAUUGGUUUUUCAAAUAAUUUUAUUUCAUUCGAUGAGGCAUCAAAGUGCACCAAUGAAACAAUUUUUGAUAUAGUUGGAAUUUUAGUGGAUGUUAAACCCUCUACGGGAGAAGGUUCAAAGAAACGAAGGGAGAUAGUGCUUGUCAACGAGAUAGUUGAUAGAAAGGUUGUAACCUUAUGAAAUGAUUUCUCAGAGAUAGACGGUCAAGUGCUACAAAAAUUGAUUGAUGAAAAAUCUGUUGUUGCGGCAUGUGAUGUUUGGAAAACAUCAUAUAGAGGCAAAAAACAUAGAUAAUAGUUUAUUGCCAAGUACACAACUGAAAAAUGCUCGGGAAGUAAAGAUUGAGGACAUCAAAGAUGAUUCAUUUGACAAUAAAGAGGAUACAUAUUUUAAAUUUAAUACAAGAAUAAAAGAUAUAAUGAAUAAAGACGAACCAUGGUAUUCUUCUUGCAAGAAAUGUUAAAAGAAAGUGGACGUUAUAAAUAAUAUUGCAAAAUGUCAUCGUUGUGGCGUCGAGAAUGUUGAUUACCAGGAAAGAAAGAAGAAUCCAAAUUUUAUCGCAAAUUGGCGUUGAGUCGGGGAAAAGAGUUCACCUUUCUUGUCAAAAAUUGAUUCCAAAAAUGGCAGCGAUCGAGAUGGAAGACGAUUUAUUGCGAAGGAGAUCCAGGAAGUUAAAAAAAAUUGCUGCAAUUGAAAUAGAUGAACAUAAUUAACAAAUUAUGUUCUUUAUAAUUUUGUUAAUUGCGGCAUUAAUUUUAAAAAAAAAAUAUAUUUCUUUCUAUAUGUAUGGAUC